AUACUUACCUGGCAGGGGAGAUACCAUGAUCCAGUAGGUGGUUUUCCCAGGGCGAGGCUCAUCCAUUGCAC
rnacentral:snRNA from 1 species